rnacentral:rRNA from 1 species
UCGGGAAUUUUGGGCAAUGGGCGAAAGCUUGACCCAGCAACGCCGCGUGAGGGAUGAAGUAUUUCGGUAUGUAAACCUCGAAAGAAUGGGAAGAAUAAAUGACGGUACCAUUUAUAAGCUCCGGCUAACUACGUGCCAGCAGCCGCGGUAAUACGUAGGGAGCAAGCGUUGUUCGGAUUUACUGGGCGUAAAGGGUGCGUAGGCGGCGCGGUAAGUCACUUGUGAAAUCUCUGAGCUUAACUCAGAACGGCCAAGUGAUACUGCUGUGCUAGAGUGCGGAAGAGGCAACCGGAAUUCUUGGUGUAGCGGUGAAAUGCGUAGAUAUCAAGAGGAACACCUGAGGCGAAGGCGGGUUGCUGGGCCGACACUGACGCUGAUGCGCGAAAGCCAGGGGAGCAAACG